CUGGGAAACCAAUGUUUUGACUAUAUUGAAAUUCUGCUUUUUACCCUCUAGAACCACUUAAAACUAAGCUUAUUCACCUAGUAACAGCAAUUCACUUUGCAAAACACUAGCUGUGUGUUUAUAUUCAAAGUCAACUUACUAUAUGUUUUUCCUGUUUUGAAUGAACAGUUUUCGCCAAAGUAUGAGAGAUUCAGACUGGGAAAACCAGGUUAUGUCUAUAUUGAAAAGUCUGCUUUUUGCUCUCUAGAGCCACUUGAAACUCGGCAUAUUCGCCGAGUAACACCAUUCAAUUUGCAAAUCACUAGCUCUGUGUUUAUCUUCAAAGUCAAAUUCCUACAAGCUUUUCCCACUUGGAUGGAACAGAAUACGCCUAAGAAUGUGUGAUUCAGACUGCGAAAGGCAUGUUUUGUCUAUAUAGAAAAGUAUGCUUUUUACCCUCUAGUACCACUUAAAAUUAAGCAUAUUGGCCAAGUAACAACAAUUCACUUUGCAAAACACUAGCUGUGUGUUUAUCUUCAAAGUCAACUUCCUACAAGACUUUCCCACUUGGAACGAACACGAUUCG
rnacentral:lncRNA from 1 species